GACGAACGCUGGCGGCGUGCUUAACACAUGCAAGUCGAACGGUAAGGCCCUUCGGGGUACACGAGUGGCGAACGGGCGAGUAACACGUGGGUGAUCUGCCCUGCACUUCGGGAUAAGCCUGGGAAACUGGGUCUAAUACCGGAUAGGACCACUGCCUGCCUGGGCGGUGGUGGAACGCUUUUGCGGUGUGGGAUGGGCCCGCGGCCUAUCAGCUUGUUGGUGGGGUGAUGGCCUACCAAGGCGACGACGGGUAGCCGGCCUGAGAGGGUGACCGGCCACACUGGGACUGAGAUACGGCCCAGACUCCUACGGGAGGCAGCAGUGGGGAAUAUUGCACAAUGGGCGCAAGCCUGAUGCAGCGACGCCGCGUGAGGGAUGACGGCCUUCGGGUUGUAAACCUCUUUCAGCACCGACGAAGCGCAAGUGACGGUAGGUGCAGAAGAAGGACCGGCCAACUACGUGCCAGCCGCCGCCGUAA
rnacentral:rRNA from 1 species